UUACAUGACCCGAGGUGGUCAACACACCAGACGUCAACAUGAAGAGUGAGAGACAUUUAAUACUCUUCUAACGAACGGCCCGGGAAGUUGACUGUGUAGUGACUACAACCUCUAAGAAUAUACAUACAUUAACAAGUUGUUACGUUAAGGACAUCUUAAUAAUGGCCAAAAUAUUCACCGUACCCAAGUUGCUGUCGUCAGUUUAAAGGGAAUAAUGGAAGAUCUUCAACGCUCCUGAAAACAGUGGUAAUGUGAGACUUAUAAGGAUUUUGUGUGUUAGAAUCAUUUAAAAUAUAUUUGUUGAUGAUGGGCCAACACUGGAACGAUGCAGCCAAGAAAAUAUGAAGUUGUGUUUACGUCAAUGUGAUGGAGGAUGGCAGACGACAUUACCUGGGACACUUGAACCAACAGAUGCUGUGUAUGGGAAACAGCAGAUUCAGAUGAAGGCGAGGUCGGGGAAGUAGACUGAGUGGACCGACCAACAAAGAUGCAUUAGAGAAACUGUCAAAAGUUCACCCACUUCCUUCACUCAUCCUGCAGUGGCCCAAGAUAAACUCAUUUCUUAUUAAGAAGUGAAGAACAAGGGACAGACUGAUGACAGAGGCUACAUCAUCACCACCAGAUGACAGAGGCUACAUCACCACCACCAGAUGACAGAGGCUGCAUCACCACCAGCACCAGAUGACAGAGGUUAC